rnacentral:rRNA from 1 species
GCUCCAGACUCCUACGGGAGGCAGCAGUGGGGAAUAUUGCACAAUGGGGGAAACCCUGAUGCAGCGACGCCGCGUGAGCGAUGAAGUAUUUCGGUAUGUAAAGCUCUAUCAGCAGGGAAGAAAAUGACGGUACCUGACUAAGAAGCCCCGGCUAACUACGUGCCAGCAGCCGCGGUAAUACGUAGGGGGCAAGCGUUAUCCGGAUUUACUGGGUGUAAAGGGAGCGUAGACGGUCCUGCAAGCCAGAUGUGAAAGCCCGGGGCUCAACCCCGGGACUGCAUUUGGAACUGUAAGGCUAGAGUGUCGGAGAGGCAGGCGGAAUUCCUAGUGUAGCGGUGAAAUGCGUAGAUAUUAGGAGGAACACCAGUGGCGAAGGCGGUCUGCUGGACAGCAACUGACGCUGAGGCGCGAAAGCGUGGGGAGCAAACAGGAUUAGAUACCCGCGUAAC